GACGAACGCUGGCGGCGUGCUUAACACAUGCAAGUCGAACGGAAAGGCCCUGCUUUUGUGGGGUGCUCGAGUGGCGAACGGGUGAGUAACACGUGAGUAACCUGCCCUUGACUUUGGGAUAACUUCAGGAAACUGGGGCUAAUACCGGAUAGGAGCUCCUGCUGCAUGGUGGGGGUUGGAAAGUUUCGGCGGUCGGGGAUGGACUCGCGGCUUAUCAGCUUGUUGGUGGGAUAGUGGCUUACCAAGGCUUUGACGGGUAGCCGGCCUGAGAGGGUGACCGGCCACAUUGGGACUGAGAUACGGCCCAGACUCCUACGGGAGGCAGCAGUGGGGAAUAUUGCACAAUGGGCGGAAGCCUGAUGCAGCAACGCCGCGUGCGGGAUGACGGCCUUCGGGUUGUAAACCGCUUUCGCCUGUGACGAAGCGUGAGUGACGGUAAUGGGUAAAGAAGCACCGGCUAACUACGUG
rnacentral:rRNA from 1 species